rnacentral:rRNA from 1 species
UGUGAACAUACCUCUAUGUUGCCUCGGCGGAUCAGCCCGUUCCUCACGGAAUGGCCCGACGCAGGACCCCUAAACUCUGUUUUUAGUGGAACUUCUGAGUAAAAAAACAAAUAAAUCAAAACUUUCAACAACGGAUCUCUUGGUUCUGGCAUCGAUGAAGAACGCAGCAAAAUGCGAUAAGUAAUGUGAAUUGCAGAAUUCAGUGAAUCAUCGAAUCUUUGAACGCACAUUGCGCCCGCCAGUAUUCUGGCGGGCAUGCCUGUUCGAGCGUCAUUUCAACCCUCAAGCCCAGCUUGGUGUUGGGAGCUGUUUUAGUUAACACUCCCCAAAUUGAUUGGCGGUCACGUCGAGCUUCCAUAGCGUAGUAAUUUACACAUCGUUACUGGUAAUCGACGCGGCCACGCCGUUAAACCCCAACUUCUGAAUGUUGACCUCGGAUC